GGACGGGUGAGUAAUGUCUGGGAAACUGCCUGAUGGAGGGGGGUAACUACUGGAAACGGUAGCUAAUACCGCAUAACGUCGCAAGACCAAAGAGGGGGACCUUAGGGCCUCUUGCCAUCGGAUGUGCCCAGAUGGGAUUAGCUAGUAGGUGGGGUAACGGCUCACCUAGGCGACGAUCCCUAGCUGGUCUGAGAGGAUGACCAGCCACACUGGAACUGAGACACGGUCCAG
rnacentral:rRNA from 1 species